UACGAAGGGGGCUAGCGUUGCUCGGAAUCACUGGGCGUAAAGCGCACGUAGGCGGCUUUUUAAGUCAGGGGUGAAAUCCUGGAGCUCAACUCCAGAACUGCCUUUGAUACUGAGAAGCUUGAGUCCGGGAGAGGUGAGUGGAACUGCCGAGUGUAGAGGUGAAAUCGUAGAUAUUCGCAAGAACACCAGUGGCGAAGGCGGCUCACUGGCCCGGUACUGACGCUGAGGUGCGAAAGCGUGGGGAGCAACAGGAUAGAAACCCUGG
rnacentral:rRNA from 1 species